UGGGGAAUAUUGCACAAUGGGCGAAAGCCUGAUGCAGCCAUGCCGCGUGUGUGAAGAAGGCCUUAGGGUUGUAAAGCACUUUCAGCGAGGAGGAAAGGGGGUAAGUUAAUACCUUAUCUCUGUGACGUUACUUGUAGAAGAAGCACCGGCUAACUCCGUGCCAGCAGCCGCGGUAAUACGGAGGGUGCGAGCGUUAAUCGGAAUUACUGGGCGUAAAGCGUGCGUAGGCGGCUACUUAAGUUGGAUGUGAAAGCCCUGGGCUCAACCUGGGAACUGCAUCCAAAACUGGGUGGCUAGAGUGCGAGAGAGGAGUGUGGAAUUUCCUGUGUAGCGGUGAAAUGCGUAGAUAUAGGAAGGAACACCAGUGGCGAAGGCGACACUCUGGCUUGACGCUGACGCUGAGGUACGAAAGCGUGGGGAGCAAACAGGAUUAGAUACCCUGGUAGUCCACGCCGUAAACGAUGUCUACUAGUUGUCGGUUGUCUUGUACGACUGGUAACGCAGCUAACGCGAUAAGUAGACCGCCUGGGGAGUACGGCCGCAAGGUUA
rnacentral:rRNA from 1 species